AUUGAACGCUGGCGGCAGGCCUAACACAUGCAAGUCGAGCGGAUGAAGGGAGCUUGCUCCUGGAUUCAGCGGCGGACGGGUGAGUAAUGCCUAGGAAUCUGCCUGGUAGUGGGGGAUAACGUCCGGAAACGGGCGCUAAUACCGCAUACGUCCUGAGGGAGAAAGUGGGGGAUCUUCGGACCUCACGCUAUCAGAUGAGCCUAGGUCGGAUUAGCUAGUUGGUGGGGUAAAGGCCUACCAAGGCGACGAUCCGUAACUGGUCUGAGAGGAUGAUCAGUCACACUGGAACUGAGACACGGUCCAGACCCCUACGGGGGGCAGCAGUGGGGAAUAUUGGAAAAUGGGCGAAAGCCUGAUCCAGCCAUGCCGGGUGGGUGAAGAAGGUCUUCGGAUUGUAAAGCAUUUUAAGUUGGGAGGAAGGGCAGUAAGUUAAUACCUUGCUGUUUUGACGUUACCAACAAAAAAAGCACCGGCUAACUUCGU
rnacentral:rRNA from 1 species